UAUUUGAUGAGGGGGGGCAAGGGGUUUAACUGUUAUGCUGUUAUGGGGCAAUUUAAUUCUUUGUUAUCUGUUAUUUUGAAAAUAUAUUUGCUGUUAACUGUUAUUGUCUUAUUCUUUGUUAGCUGUUAUUGGGCUUUUAGUUUUUUUGUUAUCUGUUAUUGUGAUAAUGUAUUUGCUGUUAACUGUUAUUGAAAAUUGGAAUGUUAGCAUUUUUUUUUUUGACAGUCAAUAUUCGGUAUAAAUUGAAAUCAUUGGACAUUGGGGUCUACCACUACUAAUAUGUUUGUCCCGAAUUCAGAGAAGGAUUCCAUUAACAUAUACCCAUCUCAGAAGUGA
rnacentral:lncRNA from 1 species